rnacentral:hammerhead_ribozyme from 1 species
AUCCAGCUGACGAAUCCCGAAAAGGACGAAAUUCGCGUCAUGGAU